UUUGAUCUGAUUUUCAUUCUCUAAGUUGAAGUCUUGCACUUCAUACCUGAGAAUAAAUUGGAUCAAACCUCCUUGGACCUUUUGUAAGUCCUCUUUCGUUCUUUUAUGCAUUUUUAGCGUGAAAGUCAAACUUUGUUUGACUUCAUGCUUUGACCAGUUUAUGGUUAACAUGAAGUUCGUUUGAACUUCAUAACGUGAGCGUAAUCACGAUGGUUUUAGUCCCUAGUGACUAUACCUACUGAUUACCAGGUUAUCUAGGUGUAGUGACGAGUCGUAGUUUCGGCCAAAAUGCAUAUUCUUGCGUAUUUUGUAACCAAACUACUUUUAGGUAUCAAAACCGUUUGUUUUGAUACCAAACCUAUUUUCUAACUUCGUUAAACAUGUUUUAACAUGUUUAGCUCGUCACUUUAGGUUUAGUGCUUAUGUAGAGUCGUAAGUCAAGCGGUCUAAACAACCGCUUAGACUUUCGAACUAGACCUGUUUGGUCGAUCAUUAGGAUCCGACCAAACAUGUUUAGUGACCAUAGUUGUAUAGGGAAUAACCUUCCGAGGUUAUACCUUAUGGUCACCUCGUUUAAGUAGUUGUAUCAUAGGUAGUUUAUAUGCCUUAGGAAAAUGACCAAAAUGCCCUUUUAUGCAUAAUUGAUAUUUAAGCAUAUGUAACCCAAACUUUUGUCACUUAACUGAUUAUGCAACAUAAUUAAACAUGUUUAAGCAUAUAAUACUUGUCAUAGGACUAGUUAGGCGGUCCGAACGCGUUUUACGCAAACGACGCGUUAAAGUAGCGCAAGCUACCUAAACGGGUCGUAAUGGGUCGUAAGCACUUAGGUUAGGUUUCAUUUUAGUAUGUAGGCUUUGUUAAACAAUAUCAUUUGGGUCCCCACACUCAUUUGGUUUACGAGACCUCAUCCUAUCCGAUCUUCCGAUAUAGGUCUGGUUUAUUUAUGUAGUUACCUAUAUUAGGUGCCGUUUGAUUACAUGCUCCCUCUAGCUUGCUUGGUAGUUGUUCAAGACUUCUAAGCACCCUCAAGUGAGUACAUAGUCCCCUCUUUUACUGUUUUCAAAUGUUUUGGGGUGAAAUAUGUGUACCUAUUUGUUAUGUUCAUGAUUUCAAAUUAUAAUUUAUUAUACGUAUUAGUACUUAUCUUUUAAGAAACUGAAUGAUUAUUUAUGGUUUUAACACAAAUUUUUCCAAAGAUUAUAAAUUUAAAUUGUUGGAUAGUACUUAUUUUAUGUUCACCAGACCGGUUGGUAGUAUCAUAUAGCGCUAAAGGAUUUGACACCCCAUUCCUGUUGUCACGGAAUGUCUGAAACCAAUUUAUUUUUAUCCAAAUAGGGAUUGCCUUAAUGGUAUUCCUGUAGUCUCAAUGGUGUAGUUUGAUGCACUAGGUCUGAAUGAAUUCUUAAAUCACAUUAUUUUUGUAUAUUUAGUUAUACUCCCAAAAGUAUAGUUUGAUAUGCUCUCAUAUGUGAUAUUGUACAAAACCAACAUAUAUUUAUAAAACCAAAACAUAUUUUAAUAUGUUAUUUAUAAAACCAAAACAUAGUUUAAUAUGUUAUUUAUAAAACUAGAACAUAGUUUAAUAUGUUAUUUAUAUAACUAAAACAUAGUUUAAUAUGUUAUUUAUAAAACCAAAAUAUAGUUUAAUAUGUUAUUUAUAAAACCAAAACAUAGUUUAAUAUGUUCUUUAUAAAACCAAAACAUAUUUUGAUAUGUUAUUUAUAAAACCAAAACAUAGUUUAAUAUGUUAUUAAUAAAACCAAAGUAUACUUUUGAUAUACUACUGAAAAUUUAUUAUUUUACCGACUAAAGUAUAUAUAUAAUAUACUAUUUGUUUAACGAUGGGUUUUUGGUUAGUGUUUAGAUAACGGGACGGGUGUAUUGUGAUGAAAACAUGGUAGAUACGCCGCUGGUACUUCUUAUAUAUAAGUGUUUUCAUCACAUUACAUACCGUGGCGUUAUUUAGUACUCUUGGGUAAACGAUUUUGAAACUGAAAUAUAUUUUGAUAUAUUACUUAUUCGAUUUUCUUAGAACCAAAGUAUAUUUUUAUAUAUACUAUAAACCUUUUUAUCAAAAUAUUGUUUUAUAAACAAUAUAUUUUAUACAAAUUCAUUUUAUUUAGUUAUUUAAUUACCUAUGUAUUAUUAUUUUAUAUCAUCUGAUUUCUUAUAAAUUCUAGUAUGAUUUAUAAAAGAAAAUAUUUUAAGGUUCAUGACCGUUUUUGAUAAAAAAUUAUUUUAAACCUAUAAGUCAUGAAUCCUAAUUAUGAUAAAACCUAUGUAUCUCACAGGCAUUUUUAUGCUGACGUACCUAUUUUUACACAUGUUUCAGGAUGGACUUGUGCCUUAGCGACUUUAAAACUUGAGAGAUAAUAUUUGUAUUAAUCUGUUUUGUAAUAGAACAAAGAGUUCAAUGAUUCAAUAAAACAAAAUUACU
rnacentral:lncRNA from 1 species